CCCUUAGAUGUUCUGGGCCGCACGCGCGCUACACUGGACAGUUCAACAAGUCUUAACCUUGGCCGAUAGGUCUGGGUAAUCUUUGAACGCUGUUCGUGAUUGGGAUAGACCUUUGCAAUUAUGGGUCUUCAACGAGGAAUUCCUAGUAAACGCAAGUCAUCAGCUUGCAUUGAUUACGUCCCUGCCCUUUGUACACACCGCCCGUCGCACCUACCGAUUGAAUGGUCCGGUGAAAUCUCGGGACGGCGGCUUGGUCGCUUGCGUCCGACUGCUGAAACUUGAUUAAACCAUAUCAUUUAGAGGAAGGUGAAGUCGUAACA
rnacentral:rRNA from 1 species